AGCGCCGUCGCGACUCCGCCGUGCGCCGCGCGGGCCGACGGACGGCGACCAUGGCGGCCUGGCGGCCCGGAAGCAAGACGGUCGUCCUUCCUCUCCGCCGCCCCUUUUCAAGCCGUGGCUGUCAGCUCGCCCCCGAGCGCAGCGCUGAGCGCAGGGAUGCAGCGCCCAGCCGCGUCUCAAGUUUCUGCCCUCCAAGAAAAUCUUGCCAUGAUUGGAUAGGACCCCCAGAUAAAUAUUCAAACCUUCGACCUGUUCACUUUUACAUCCCUGAAAAUGAGUCACCACUGGAACAAAAGCUAAGAGAAUUAAGACAAGAAACACAGGAAUGGAACCAACAGUUCUGGGCGAACCAGAAUUUGACUUUUCAUAAGGAAAAAGAAGAAUUUAUUCACUCAAGACUGAAAGCUAAAGGCCUGGGACUGACAGCGGAAUCAGGUGCAAAAGCAACAUUGAAUGCAGAAGAAAUGGCUGAGUUUUACAAGGAAUUUCUAAGUAAAAAUUUUCAGAAGCACAUGUAUUAUAACAGCGCAUCAGGAGCUCGUGGACAGGGGUUCGAAACAGCACUCCCAUCCGAAGCGCGGGACUCCUUUGAGGUGCACAGUCUGGGCAGGAACAGCACCCGAGGCACCCCUUGGGUUUGGAAGUGAGGUUUGUGUGAGGCCGGCUCAGGAGGCAGCCUGAGGGGCUCCCAGGGGCCAGAGGCAAGGCCAUUCCAGCCACACGAAGAAAUGACUGCUGGCGGAGUGAAGACACAUCACAUGUACAAACGUCUUUGCCAUCCUGGUGACACUGACCGGCUCACGGCCCCGGGACAUUACGAGGCAGAGCAUCAUCCUGGAAACUGGUGUGUGGAGAAGAGAAUGCAGAGGUGGCUCCCCUCUCCUGCUCUCCCGAACCUGCUGGAAGCGGGGUGGCCAAGAGGGGAGUAGCCUUUGCAGAAGAAGGACAGUGAACACAGAAGGCGUGGUGGAAUUAGAAAAUUACCACUCUUGGAGAUCCCGUCGUGGCGCAGUGGUUAACGAAUCCGACUAGGAACUAUGAGGGACUGGUACAAGCGUAAUUUUGCCAUCACCUUCUUCAUGGCAAAAGUGGCCUUGGAGAGGAUCUGGCGCAAGCUUCCACU